CUCAGUCCACAGAGUCCAUCUCUGCUGACUGGAUAUGACCCUAUCCUAACACAAACAGUUGUUCCAGUACAAACAAGUAUUACAGAAAAGCGGAAGAUAGUGAGAACACCCUAAAAAAAGGUAACAGUGCAGGACAUACAUGACAUACAGUAUCGUGCACUGCAGGGUAAAUUAGUGAUACAAGAGAAGAAGAACAUUCAAAUGGACCUAGAAAAGAACAAACUGGAACCCCAAAUUGAGCUUUUGCAGAAGUUAGUGGGUGGCAAUUCAGAACCGGUCACACUCUCCCAGGCACUUGCCUCUAUGUUUUGAACGUAUUAAAUUCAUUGUUAUAUUGUU